NNNNNNNNNNNNNUCUGAUUUGUUUAUUAUUUUGUUGUUAAUUUUUGUGUUUUUGGUGUUUUAUUGAAAAAUCAUUUUGUUGUUGUAUUUUUGUGAUUUAAUUUUGUUAACGAUAGUUUAUUUGUACUGUAAGGGGUUGCAUGAUUAAUAUUUUUAGGAAAGUAGAUUUUAUUUGUUGUACCUUGUGUAUCAGGGUUCAUUGAAUUUCAUUAUUUAUAUUUAUUUCCCGAUUUUAAAGGAGUUAAUGAUUUAUGUUAUUUACUGUUUCAGUAGUAUUAAUAAUAUGUUGUUGGUAGUGAAAUGCUAUUCGUCUUUAGUGGUUUCUGGUUUUCCAAGAAAUGAAUUCAAUUCAUACAUUUUGUUUAAUUUCUGUUUUAUUCUAUUUAUUUUUAUUUAAUGUAAAGAUUAUGGGGGAUUAGCUCCUUAUUUUAUUAUUAUAAUUAAUUUAUUUCAAUUUAGUUUUGUGGAUUUUAUAUUGAUUUUCAAUUUGAUUAUGUUAAAAUUUUAUUUGUUCUUUUAUCUAUUUGUUGUUAAUUUAAUUUGUUUAUUGGAAUGUUUAUUUUACUUUGGUUUGUAUAGUAAUUAUUGUGUAAUUAGUAAAUCUUGCUUUUGUGUUGUUUAUUAAUUGAUGUAAAUUUCUUUUUAGGAAUUCGGCAAAGUUUUAUGUCCGCCUGUUUAACAAAAACAUCUUUUCUUGUUAGUUUUUGAAGUAUGGCCUGCCCACUGACUUAUCGUUGAAGGGCCGCGGUAUUUUGACCGUGCAAAGGUAGCAUAAUCAUUAGUUCUUUAAUUGUGAUCUGGUAUGAAUGGCUUGACGAGACAUAAGCUGUCUUAGGGGUAUUAUUUAUUGAAUUUAGUUUUUGAGUUAAAAUUCUUAGAUGUUUUUAUGGGACGAGAAGACCCUAUAGAGUUUUAACUCACUGUCCAGAUCGGAAGACCCUAUAGAGUUUAACAUUUAUUUUAGUUAUAGUUUGUUUGUUUUUUUUGUUAACUAAAAUAAAUGUUUUGUUGGGGUGAUGGGAGGAAUUUAUUUAACUCCUCUUUGCUCUUUUAUAUUGAUUUAUAUUUCUUUUGAUCCAUUUAUUUUGAUUAUAAGAUUAAAUUACCUUAGGGAUAACAGCGUUAUCUUCCUUGAGAGUUCUUAUUGGCAGGGGGGUUUGCGACCUCGAUGUUGGAUUAAGGUGAAUUUUCGGUGCAGGAGCUGAAAGUGAUUAGGUCUGUUCGACCUUUAAAAUCUUACAUGAUCUGAGUUCAGACCGGCGUGAGCCAGGUUGGUUUCUAUCUAUAAUAGUGUUUUAUAUCUUAGUACGAGAGGACCGGAUAUUUGGAAUAAUUUUGUUUAUAUGAUUUUUAUUAAUAUGGUUACUAUUUUGGCAGAUAAGUGCAU
rnacentral:rRNA from 1 species